ACUGCAAUCACUGAAUACUGCUGCAUUGGAUCCCCUUGGAAAGAUGUGUGUCCUUUGCACGAAGCCCAACACAGUGGAUGUUAUGGCAGGGCACACUGCCUUGUGUAAUACUAGCUCUGUUUGCACAGGUGUUGGAUGGCUGGAUCCAUGGAUGAUGUGAGUGUCCAGGAGGUCUUCUGUGGCUUACAGAGUCUGCUGGGAGGUAAUUUCUAGGGAAGAAGCAUACUGCAAAAAGCUGGGAGACUUCUAGGAAUUACACAGAAAUAUCAAAGAUCGUGCACAAGGAAAUGGUGUCCCUGGAUGAAAGUGGGACAUCUCUAUUCAAAUCACCAAGCAGUGAACUCAUGAACUUCUAACCUUCCAAGAGACUGCAAGCUGAGAGGAAGGAUUUAAAUCUGUUUCAAACCUUGCUAAGGACUGAAUUUAGCAGGAGAUAACAAACAAACUUGGGAGGAGAGAACUUAAGAGCUGCAGGAAUUCCUACUAGUUCCCUCAAGAGCUGAGAAGCCUAAGAAUCCAGAAAAGCUUUAUAAAUUAUAAGACCUUCUACACUUUUCCUUCACAAUAUGACAGCCAAUCUUUCCAUUAAGAGACUAUUUACCCAUAAUAGAGA